GAUUGAAAAAUCUGAAAAAAAUACUGUACCUUCACAAGGCCUGCUCAAAGCGAUAAGUGAAGUUUCAAGAAUGUGUUUUUCACCGUUUUUUUAUUACAGAGAUUCGAAAUUUGUUAUGACGCAUUAUGAUUCAAACAUGAAUUACGAACACAGGUCAAGUGUUGUUCCAGGAUAUGGAAUACCUGCACCUGUGCAUGCGUCACCUAAAUCCUUCACUAUCCAGGUAGUCCAGGUAGGGUCACCACCUCGAUUCCGCGAAGGGGUCAUUUGGCUAAAGUCAGGUACAUUGAAUUGCACCUGCAUUAUGUUAGCCCCAUUGGUGGAAUUCAAGCAAUUAGAAGAGUCGUUGGGUGGGUGAAGCACUAUAUUCCAGGAUAUGGAAUACGUCCACCUGUGCAUGCGUCACCUAAAUCCUUCAUUAUCCAGGUAGUCCGGGUCACCACCUCGAUUCCGCGAAGGGGUCAUUUGGCUAAAGUCAGGUACAUUGAAAUGCACCUUCAUUAUGUUAGCCCCAUUGGUGGAAUUCAACCAAUCAGAAGAGUUGUUGGGUGGGUGAAGCACUAUUCUGAACGAGUAUAAAUUUCGAGCAUUUCAAAAUGCAUAACAUUCAAUCGAAUACCAGUGUAGCGAUCAGUGCAAUACAUCGUCUCAUUCUUCACACAAGUAAUUCAUUUCUGAAAGCAAUGUCUACAACAGAUGUGAAACGGUGCUGUAAUCCUUUCCAAAGAGUUGGCCAUAAUUGGGUGCGAAAUUUGGUAAAGCCAGUGACACCAGCAUUACGGAAAAAGUUUCCGGACCUAGGAGAAUAUGUGUGCAUGGAUUGUCGAAUAAAAUUGUACAAAUGCAACACAAUUACUCCAUCUGAUAAAAACGAGAAACGAUCACGCAAGAAACGGAAACGUUCCUCGAGACGCUAAAGGAACAGACGAUAGCCCUCAAGAAACAUGAUUUCAUUGCUAAACAGCAAAGUGCAUAUUUGAAAGACAGAAAACAUCGUCUACAACCAGGGGAGUUCUUAGUUUUGGGUGACUUUGCUGAAAACUAUGCAUUUGUUGUUCAAGAUGAAAUUCAAAGCUUCCACUGGAAUAACAAUCAAGCUACCAUCCAUCCUUUUGUUGUGUAUUAUGUUGAAAAUGAGGACUUAAAGCAUAAAAGCUUCGUUAUCAUAUCAGAAAAUCUACAACAUAAUACAGUCGCGGUCCAUCUGUUUCAGAAGAAACUAAUCGGUAAGCUUUUUGAGUUCUUCGGUAGUGAAGUUAUCAAGAAAAUGAUUUAUUUUACUGACGGUGCUAGUGCACAAUAUAAAAAUAAAAGCAACUUCAUUAAUUUGACUCAUCAUUUUGACGACUUCAAUGUCGAGGCUGAAUGGCAUUUCUUUGCAACGUCACAUGGAAAAAGUCCAUGUGAUGGCAUUGGUGGAACUGUGAAAAGAUUUGCUGCACGUGCAAGCCUACAGCGGCCCAAUGAAAAUCUUAUUUUGACUCCAAGGCAAUUAUUCGAAUGGAGUG
rnacentral:lncRNA from 1 species